UACGAAGGGGCUAGAGCGUUGUUCCGGAAUCAUGUGGCGUAAAGCGCACGUAGGCGGAUGUGUCAGUCAGGGGGUGAAAUCCCGGAGCUCAACUUCGGAACUGCCCUUGAUACAGCACGUCUUGAGUCCGGAAGAGGUGGGUGGAAUUCCUAGUGUAGAGGUGAAAUUCGUAGAUAUCAGGAGGAACACCGGUGGCGAAGGCGGUUCUCUGGGCCUUACCUGACACUGAGGAGCGAAAGCGUGGGGAGCGAACAGG
rnacentral:rRNA from 1 species